AGAGGGAGCAAGCGUUGUUCGGAAUUACUGGGCGUAAAGGGCGCGCAGGCGGUCCGGCAAGUCUUGCGUGAAAUCCCCCGGCUCAACUGGGGAACUGCGCAGGAAACUGCCGGACUUGAGUUCGGGAGAGGGAAGCGGAAUUCCGGGUGUAGCGGUGAAAUGCGUAGAUAUCCGGAGGAACACCGGUGGCGAAGGCGGCUUCCUGGACCGAUACUGACGCUGAGGCGCGAAAGCUAGGGUAGCAAACGGGAUUAGAUACCCCGGGUAGUCCUAGCUGUAAACGAUGAGUGCUGGGUGUUAGGGUAUCCCACCCCCCCCCUAGUGCCGAAGCUAACGCAUUAAGCACUCCGCCUGGGGAGUACGGUCGCAAGGCUG
rnacentral:rRNA from 1 species